rnacentral:rRNA from 1 species
CCUACGGGGCGCAGCAGUGAGGAAUAUUGGUCAAUGGUCGGGAGACUGAACCAGCCAAGCCGCGUGAGGGAGGAAGGUACAGAGUAUCGUAAACCUCUUUUAUAAGGGAAUAAAGUGUGGGACGUGUCCUAUUUUGUAUGUACCUUAUGAAUAAGGAUCGGCUAACUCCGUGCCAGCAGCCGCGGUAAUACGGAGGAUCCGAGCGUUAUCCGGAUUUAUUGGGUUUAAAGGGUGCGUAGGCGGCCUUUUAAGUCAGCGGUGAAAGUCUGUGGCUCAACCAUAGAAUUGCCGUUGAAACUGGGGGG